rnacentral:rRNA from 1 species
GAGUUUGAUCUUGGCUCAGGACGAACGCUGGCGGCGUGCCUAACACAUGCAAGUCAAGGGGGCCCGCAAGGGCAACCGGCGAACGGGUGCGUAACACGUGAGCAAUCUGCCGAUUUGUGGGGGAUAGCCGGCCCAACGGCCGGGUAAUACCGCAUACGCUUCUUGAGUGGAGUCACUUGGGAAGGAAACCUCCGGGGCAAAUCGAGGAGCUCGCGGCCUAUCAGCUAGUUGGCGGGGUCAAGGCCCACCAAGGCGACGACGGGUAGCUGGUCUGAGAGGAUGGCCAGCCACAUUGGGACUGAGAGACGGCCCAGACUCCUACGGGAGGCAGCAGUGGGGAAUCUUGCGCAAUGGCCGAAAGGCUGACGCAGCGACGCCGCGUGGGGGAUGAAGGGUUUCGGCUCGUAACCCCUGUUGCCCGGGACGAAUUCUGGUUUUUGAGCCAGUUGACGGUACCGGGUGAGGAAGCACCGGCUAACUCCGUGCCAGCCGCCGCAGUAAG